AUAACAACAAUAACAAGCCGUCCCAUAACAAGAACAAAACGUAACGACUCCAGCAAAACAACGAUAAGAACGCGGAGGCGCAGCUAACUGAUUCUUUUGGAGAGGAUUUGCCGAAGGGCUCAACCCCGACAACCAGGCCGAGAACAACAAAAACUGCAUUGAGCAGGGCCCGCACUGGUUGGAUCAACGAUCACCGGCAACUCAGCGACCAAAGCAAUCCGUUUGCUAUUGGUUCCCACGUAGGGACCUCCCGAAGGCAAUGGCCGAAGGGAACAGGCGGAACAACAAAAACAAUACGCCUGCACCAAUAACAACAAAGCACGCACUAUCUUUUAUGAGGGGAGCUUCGGCUCCCCUCAGUGCUUUAUGCCCGCCGUUUUUUGACACCCCU
rnacentral:sRNA from 1 species